AUUGAGCGCUGGCGGCAGGCUUAACACAUGCAAGUCGAGCGGGGUGAUGGUGCUUGCACUAUCACUUAGCGGCGGACGGGUGAGUAAUGCUUAGGAAUCUGCCUAUUAGUGGGGGACAACAUCUCGAAAGGGAUGCUAAUACCGCAUACGUCCUACGGGAGAAAGCAGGGGAUCACUUGUGACCUUGCGCUAAUAGAUGAGCCUAAGUCGGAUUAGCUAGUUGGUAGGGUAAAGGCCUACCAAGGCGACGAUCUGUAGCGGGUCUGAGAGGAUGAUCCGCCACACUGGGACUGAGACACGGCCCAGACUCCUACGGGAGGUAGCAGUGGGGAAUAUUGGACAAUGGGGGGAACCCUGAUCCAGCCAUGCCGCGUGUGUGAAGAAGGCCUUAUGGUUGUAAAGCACUUUAAGCGGGGAGGAGGCUCUUUUGGUUAAUACCCAAGAUGAGUGGACGUUACUCGCAGAAUAAGCACCGGCUAACUCUGUGCCAGCAGCCGCAGUAA
rnacentral:rRNA from 1 species